rnacentral:rRNA from 1 species
UACGAAGGGGGCGAGCGUUGUUCGGAAUUACUGGGCGUAAAGGGCGCGUAGGCGGCCAUCUUUGUCAGGUGUGAAAGCCCUGGGCUCAACCUAGGAAUUGCACUUGGGACGGGGUGGCUUGAGUUCGGGAGAGGAGAGUGGAAUUCCCAGUGUAGAGGUGAAAUUCGUAGAUAUUGGGAAGAACACCGGUGGCGAAGGCGGCCAUCUGGACCGAAACUGACGCUGAGGCGCGAAAGCGUGGGGAGCAAACAGG